AUGGAGAUAGACUCUCUGGAGGUUGUGAACCUCUGGGCUACUCGCCUCGACUCUCGUUCGGUCGUGGCUCCUAUUCUGUUAGAUAUUGGAGAGCUUAUCACUAGUUUUUCAUUUUUUGAUAUAUGUCAUGUUAGAUCAGCUAAUGAGCCGGCUCACAUCUGUGCAAAACAUGCUUGCACGAUUGAGAGGACCGAUAGUUGGCUCGAUAACACUCCCGGUUUCCUGGUCAGUGCCCUGUUGGCGGACUGCCCAGCGAACACCUUUCAUUAA
rnacentral:rRNA from 1 species